rnacentral:lncRNA from 1 species
CCCAUCGUCCUUGUCCCCCUCCUCUGUUUUCCCACCCGGCAAAGAAACUUCACCUGCAGAAACACAAAACCAAAAAUUAAAAAACCAAUCUUUCCCAUUUCCAUUUUUAUCAAUUUCCUCAAUUUUUCCCAUUUCCAGAAAAAUGAGCAAGAAGCUUAAGCAGGAAAAAAAUCAUAAUUUCAACAACCAAAACCCAAUACCCGUUUAAUCAUACACGAACGAAAAAUCUAAACACAGAGUCACAGAUUAACGAACUGAAAACCCAAAAAAAAUAAAGGAAACUGACCUUACUUAAGAACAAUACAUAGAACACAGAGAAACGAAACAAAUAAAGGAACCCCCAAAACCAAAUAAAGGAACCCUCAAAACCUGACCUAACAGUGCAACAAAAUCUGGAAAUAAUUCACAGCAAAAAGGCAGAAAUGAUGACAAUCUAUGCUAACAGUAAAGAAUCGAAUUAAAAAUUGAACUUAGCUUUUGAAAUCCAGCCACUCAUCCGACAUGCAAAAGGGAACGGAUGAUCGAGAGUGAAUCAUGGACUGAGGGACCUUACUCGACCCAUCAUUGGAGCUACGUUUGUAGCUUUUGGGGAGAAAAAAAUUGAAUGUGAAAGCUGCUUUUGAUGUGGCCAUUAAGGUGGUGCUUCAGC